GGGCCUGCGUUUCAUUAGCUAGUUGGUAGGGUAAUGGCCUACCAAGGCAACGAUGAGUAGCUGGUCUGAGAGGAUGAUCAGCCACACUGGAACUGAAACACGGUCCAGACUCCUACGGGAGGCAGCAGUGGGGAAUAUUGCGCAAUGGGCGAAAGCCUGACGCAGCAACGCCGUGUGAGGGAUGAAGGCUUUCGGGUCGUAAACCUCUGUCGGAAGGGAAGAACGGGCAUUGGUCUAAUAGGCCUUUGUUUUGACGGUACCUUUAGAGGAAGCACCGGCUAACUCCGUGCCAGCAGCCGCGGUAAUACGGAGGGUGCAAGCGUUAUUCGGAAUUACUGGGCGUAAAGCGCACGUAGGCGGCCUUGUAAGUCAGGGGUGAAAUCCCACGGCUCAACCGUGGAACUGCCUUUGAAACUGCAGGGCUUGAAUCCUGGAGAGGGUGGCGGAAUUCCUGGUGUAGGAGUGAAAUCCGUAGAUAUCAGGAGGAACACCGGUGGCGA
rnacentral:rRNA from 1 species